AGAGAUGUAGCUCAGUGGUAGAGUGCUUGUCUAGCACGCAGGAGGUCCUUAGUUCCAUCUCCA
rnacentral:tRNA from 1 species